GACGUAGGGGGCAAGCGUUAUUCGGAAUUACUGGGCGUAAAGCGCGCGCAGGCGGCUAUCCAAGUCAGUGGUGAAAGCCCGGAGCUCAACUCCGGAACUGCCAUUGAAACUGUUUAGCUUGAGGACGAGAGAGGUGAGUGGAAUUCCCAGUGUAGAGGUGAAAUUCGUAGAUAUUGGGAAGAACACCGGUGGCGAAGGCGGCGACCUGGUCCUUGACUGACGCUGAGGCGCGAAAGCGUGGGGAGCAAACAGG
rnacentral:rRNA from 1 species